rnacentral:rRNA from 1 species
GAUGAACGCUAGCGACAGGCCUAACACAUGCAAGUCGAGGGGCAGCACGAAGUAAGCUUGCUUACUUUGGUGGCGACCGGCGCACGGGUGCGUAACAGGUGUGCAAUCUGUCCAUAAUCGGGGAAUAGCCCAGCGAAAGUUGGAUUAAUGCUCCAUGUGAGCCGAGGAGGCAUCUCUUUGGUUUGAAACGCAAGGAUUAUGGGUGAGCACGCUUCUGAGUAGGUAGUUGGUGAGGUAACGGCUCACCAAGCCGACGAUCAGUAGGGGUUCUGAGAGGAAGGUCCCCCACAUUGGAACUGAGACACGGUCCAAACUCCUACGGGAGGCAGCAGUGAGGAAUAUUGGUCAAUGGACGGAAGUCUGAACCAGCCAAGUCGCGUGAAGGAUGAAGGUUCUAUGGAUUGUAAACUUCUUUUGUCUGAGGGUAAAACAGCGGACGUGUCCGUUCUUGCAAGUAUCAGACGAAUAAGCAUCGGCUAACUCCGUGCCAGCCGCCGCCGUAAAAC